AAUAGUUUUUUAAAUGGAAACUGGGAUGAAAGAAGUGAUGAGAUUUAUACUGUCUUAAUAUAAAUAAUUGAAUUUAUUAAUUAAGUAAAAAUACUUAGAUAGGUAUGCGGGACGAGAAGACCCUAUAGAAUUUUAUAUAAAUUUAAUAAAAAAAUUAAUUUUAAAGUAGUUAGAGUUAUAUUUUAUUGGGAGGAUAAUUAAAUUUAAGUAACUUUAAUAUAGAAAACCAUUAAUUUAUGAGAAGAAAUAAAGGAGUGGCUUUGGAGUUUAGAAAGAAUUAAUUACCUUAGGGAUAACAGCGUUAUAUUUUUAGAGAGAUCUUAUUGAUAAAAAUGUUUGC
rnacentral:rRNA from 1 species